CGGGGUGUAGCUCAGUUGGCUAGAGUGCCUGGUUUGGGACCAGGAGGUCGCAGGUUCGAGUCCUGUCUCCCCGACCA
rnacentral:tRNA from 3 species